GCAAGUCGAACGCGAAAGUUUUCUUCGGAAAACGAGUAGAGUGGCGCACGGGUGAGUAACGCGUAAGUAAUCUACCCUGGUAUAUGGGAUAACCCACCGAAAGGUGAGCUAAUACCGGAUACGUUGAUUUAUCAAGAAAGGUGGCCUCUUCAUGAAUGCUACUGUGCUAGGAGGAGCUUGCGUACCAUUAGCUAGUUGGUAGGGUAAUGGCCUACCAAGGCGACGAUGGUUAGCGGGUCUGAGAGGAUGAUC
rnacentral:rRNA from 1 species